rnacentral:rRNA from 1 species
UACGUAGGAGACGAGCGUUGUCCGGAGUUACUGGGCGUAAAGGGCUCGUAGGCGGCGUGUCGCGUCGGGGAGUGAAAGCCCGCUGCUUAACGGCGGGUUGGCUUCCGGUACGGGCAUCGCUGGAGUGCGGCAGGGGGAGACUGGAAUUCCUGGUGUAGCGGUGGAAUGCGCAGAUAUCAGGAGGAACACCGGUGGCGAAGGCGGGUCUCUGGGCCGUUACUGACGCUGAGGAGCGAAAGCGUGGGGAGCGAACAGG